rnacentral:lncRNA from 1 species
AUCUUCCUGGAGAUUCCUGUAUAUCUGAGGUCUUCUUAAGGAGGCAUUGCUAUGGACAUCUGGCAGAUCUGUGUGUCCUGGGAAGAGGAAGAGAGAAAUCCUUUUGGCUGGAGGUCAUUGUGCCAUGUGGGACUGGUUCUGUCAAAGAAAAGACUGAUUGGAUAAAUGCUGCAGGGAAGAAAUUACUUCUGCUUCUAGAAAUGAGGAAGAGUAAAAACAUUGUCCAGCACUGAUAACAGAGCCCUUGGGGAAGUACCAAGAUGCCUGUAAACAUGAGUUGGGGAGUGCAAGCAGAUGAACUAGUGGGGGAAGGCCACCAUGGAUGCCAUCAAAAACAAGUCAGAGUGUCACCAAAGUGGUAAAACAAAUACUGCAGUGUCCAAGCGCUGCAAGACAAAACAAGCAUCAAAGCUUCACAGAAAGAGACAAGCAUGCUCAAGGCAGAAGCUUCAUUAGUAUGACAGGCAUAACUGGACUACAGGGAAUUGAAGGGAUGCUAAAUGCCAGGGAUAGAGCCUGCAGCCCACUGUGGUAGAGAUGUGCAUUUCUGGGGUUGUACUGGUUCUGACUCCCUGAAGCUGUACUGCAGCCUCAGAUGCCAGGUUGGACUAGUGAUUAGUAGUGGGGAAGGGAAAAGCUUCAGCAAGCUGUUGGAAGCCUGUGACCUGUCUCACUGAGCUAAAACAAAAAGUGUUGCAACUUCCCCGAGUAAUCACCACCAACAGGUUGGAUACUUCACAUGUAAGCGUGGCAAAUCUGAGCUGAGGAUGAGUGGCAAAGCAAAGGCGACUGAUGGGAAAGGCCUUUCCUAGCGUGGCCAGGAGGUCCAAGAGCCCCAGAAUAAACAGGAGCCAUUAAUCCUGACAGUCACAAAUCACUGGGAUCAUGAGUAUUGAAAGACUUUCCUGUUUUCAAAUGGAAUUUAUAUUGGAAAUGUAAAAUAUGACGAAGUAUUCUUAUACGUAGAGAAACUGACAUUCAGCAAUCGAUGUGAAACUGUUCAUAGCACAGAGCUUUCUCAUGACGAUACCAACUGGAAAGUAAGACUUGUGUAUAUUAUGAUGUUUACAUUGGGAAUUAAUAUAGAACGCAGAGCCCUUGCUUCUACAAAAUCCUUUUCCUGACUGUAAGUGUAUUUUAAGCCAUCCACAGGAUGUUGCAGUGCAUUUAUGAAAUUGAAAAGUGAGCCCCCGCAGACAGCAGCACUGCGCUGGGCACCUCGGUUUGUGUCAUCAUUAUUAUGAUGAGAUUUAGAAGUGGAGCAGUUGCUUAUGAGAUUACUGAGGGUUCACAACCAAAACCCU